rnacentral:rRNA from 1 species
UACGUAGGGCGCAAGCGUUGUCCGGAAUUAUUGGGCGUAAAGAGCUCGUAGGCGGCUUGUCGCGUCGGAUGUGAAAGCCCGGGGCUUAACUCCGGGUCUGCAUUCGAUACGGGCAGGCUAGAGUUCGGUAGGGGAGAUCGGAAUUCCUGGUGUAGCGGUGAAAUGCGCAGAUAUCAGGAGGAACACCGGUGGCGAAGGCGGGUCUCUGGGCCGUAACUGACGCUGAGGAGCGAAAGCGUGGGGAGCAAACAGG